rnacentral:rRNA from 1 species
AUUGAACGCUGGCGGCAGGCCUAACACAUGCAAGUCGAGCGGAGCGGCGCACGGGUGAGGAAUGCCUAGGAAUCUGCCUGGGAGUGAGGGACAACGUCAGGAAACGGGCGCUAAUACCGCAUAAUAUCAGCUGAGCCUAGGUAGGCUUAGCUAGGUGGUGGGGUAAAGGACUACCAAGGCGACGAUCCGUAACUGGUCUGAGAGGAUGAUCAGUCACACUGGAACUGAGACAAGGUCCAGAAUCAUACGGAAGGCAGCAGGAGGGAAUAUUGGACAAUGGGCGAAAGCCUGAUCCAGCCAUGCCGCGUGUGUGAAGAAGGUCUUCGGAUUGUAAAGCACUUUAAGUUGGGAGUCGUUACCAACCUAAUAAGCACCGGCUAACUUCGUGACAGCCGCCGCGGUAAUAC